AAGUCGGUAGCUUAACCUUUAUGGAGGGCGCUGACCACUUUGUGAUUCAUGACUGGGGUGAAGUCGUAACAAGGUAACCGUAGGGGAACCUGCGGUUGGAUCACCUCCUUA
rnacentral:rRNA from 1 species